AACGAACGCUGGCGGCAUGCCUAACACAUGCAAGUCGAACGAGACCUUCGGGUCUAGUGGCGCACGGGUGCGUAACGCGUGGGAAUCUGCCCUUAGGUUCGGAAUAACUCCCCGAAAUUGGUGCUAAUACCGGAUAAUGUCUUCGGUCCAAAGAUUUAUCGCCUUUGGAUGGGCCCGCUUUGGAUUAGCUAGUUGGUAGGGUAAAAGCCAACCAAGCCGACGAUCCUUAGCUGGUCUGAGAGGAUGAUCAGCCACACUGGGACUGAGACACGGCCCAGACUCCUACGGAAGGAAGAAGGGGGGAAAAUGGAAAAAGGGGGGAAAGCCUGACCAAGAAAGGCGGGGUAGGGGAGAAGGGCUUUAGGGUGGAAAAGCUCUUUUACCGGGAAGGAAAAGAACAGUACCGGGGAAAAAGGCCCGGGCAAACUCGGU
rnacentral:rRNA from 1 species